GGGCCCGCACAAGCGGUGGAGCAUGUGGUUUAAUUCGAUGCAACGCGAAGAACCUUACCUACUCUUGACAUCCAGAGAACUUAGCAGAGAUGCUUUGGUGCCUUCGGGAACUCUGAGACAGGUGCUGCAUGGCUGUCGUCAGCUCGUGUUGUGAGAUGUUGGGUUAAGUCCCGCAACGAGCGCAACCCCUAUUGUUAGUUGCCAUCAUUAAGUUGGGCACUCUAACGAGACUGCCGGUGAUAAACCGGAGGAAGGUGGGG
rnacentral:rRNA from 1 species